GACGAACGCUGGCGGCGUGCUUAACACAUGCAAGUCGAACGGAAAGGCCCUGCUUUUGUGGGGUGCUCGAGUGGCGAACGGGUGAGUAACACGUGAGUAACCUGCCCUUGAUUUUGGGAUAACUUCAGGAAACUGGGGCUAAUACCGGAUAGGAGCUCCUGUUGCAUGGUGGGGGUUGGAAAGUUUCGGCGGUUGGGGAUGGACUCGCGGCUUAUCAGCUUGUUGGUGGGGGAGGGGCUUACCAAGGGAUUGACGGGUAGCCGGCCUGAGAGGGUGACCGGCGUCAUUGGGACUGCGAGACGGCCCAGAGUCCUACGGGGGGCAAUGGUGGGGAAUAUUACACAAUGGGACGGAGCGGGAGGCGGCGACGCCGCGUUCGGGAUGACGGCCUUCUGGUUGAAAACCGCUUUCGCCUGUGACGAAGCGGUAGUGACGGUAAUGAGUAAAGAAGCACCGGCUAACUACGUG
rnacentral:rRNA from 1 species